rnacentral:lncRNA from 1 species
AAAAAGAAGCAGGCCCUUGCCAGAUACGAGUUUGCCAAUGCCUUGAUCUUGGAAUUCCCAGCCUCCAGAACUGUGAGCAAAAGGAUGUGUGUAUGUUCACCCAUACGCUGCACAAAUAUGUAAUGGACACCAGCCAUGACCAGCCUACUGGGGACUGCUUGGCAGUAGCAACACGGCAGCGAACAAGACAGAUGAGCCUCCUGCCCACAGAAGCUUACAUUCGGGUGGAAUACAGGCUGCAUGAGCAAAGAAGAUGACCACACACCUGGGGGAGAGUCAGAUGGCUUCUUCAAUUGGAACGUUCUUCCCUAAGGAUGAGCUAAUAUAGCACAUGACCUGAAAAUCCUUCUGGGAGACUCCAGGAUAAUCCAAGACUGGCAGAAAGUGAGAAUACCGAUUGAGAUCCAAGGACAUCCUCAUGGGAGUCUGUGCAGACAGGUUUUCAUCAAGAACCCCUCUCCAAGCAGCUGGUCCAGCCCAGCUAAACUGGGGGCUGCUGUUUGUAAGAAAAUUAAUGCUCUGGGCCAAGCACGGUGGCUCAUGCCUGUAAUCUCAGCACUUUAGGAGGCCAAGGCAGGCGGAUCACUUG